rnacentral:rRNA from 1 species
GACGAACGCUGGCGGCGUGCUUAACACAUGCAAGUCGAACGGAAAGGCCCUGCUUUUGUGGGGUGCUCGAGUGGCGAACGGGUGAGUAACACGUGAGUAACCUGUCCUUGACUUUGGGAUAACUUCAGGAAACUGGGGCUAAUACCGGAUAGGAGCUCCUGCUGCAUGGUGGGGGUUGGAAAGUUUCGGCGGUUGGGGAUGGACUCGCGGCUUAUCAGCUUGUUGUUGGGGUAGUGGCUUACCAAGGCUUUGACGGGUAGCCGGCCUGAGAGGGUGACCGGCCACAUUGGGACUGAGAUACGGCCCAGACUCCUACGGGAGGCAGCAGUGGGGAAUAUUGCACAAUGGGCGGAAGCCUGAUGCAGCAACGCCGCGUGCGGGAUGACGGCCUUCGGGUUGUAAACCGCUUUCGCCUGUGACGAAGCGUGAGUGACGGUAAUGGGUAAAGAAGCACCGGCUAACUACGUG